GUGACUUCUGGUAAAUCAAAUACUUUGGACUUAAAACCAGGAUGUGUUCCAGAGAUAGGAAAAACAAACAAACAAUGUACAGUAUCAUCAAAAUUUAAGGCCAAAAGUAGUCUUUGGAGGCCAUCAGGUUUGACAUCCGGCUGAACAUAGGUCUGUCCUCAAAAGUACAGACAAAUUAGGAAAGGACAUAGAAUGAAGAUUCCACAGUGUUCCUUUCCUCAGGCUUAACCAGUCCCUCUGUGGAGAUUUUUUUCCUCAUAUACAGACAGAAUUUCCCUGUUGCAGCUUGUGACCACUGUCUCUUCUUAUUUUGUUAUUUGCCACCAAGAAAAGUCUCUCUAGUUUUUCACUUUCCAACUUUAGAUACGUGAAUAUUAUUAGACCCCUGAGCUUGUUCUUCUUGAACUGAACAUACUGUAUUCCAUCAGUUUCUUCAUUUGUGUCUUCUCUUCCAUUACUCAGGCAUCUUAGUGCUGCACUGAAAAUCAUCUGAUAUUUUGCUGAUAUAAACCAGAAAUAUUCCUCAUAUGAAGGUACAGAGUGCUAACCAUCAUAUUGAUCAGAGAAAUAUUUGGCUGAAAAUAUGUUGCUGUACUGAGCCAAAGCGAAAUCAAAAAGCAAGGAAAACAACCAGAACAGGACUAUUUGAAGAAAGCCGCCAAAGUGUUUUCAAGCUCAGUAUUAUUGAGAGUCAUUCAAAUGGAAGCAUAAACAGGAUGGCUGCAGCUGGAGGGAAAAGUUAUACCAGACUGCCAUCAAGAUCUCAGCAGGCAAUGAAAAAU
rnacentral:lncRNA from 1 species